rnacentral:lncRNA from 1 species
CUUUUCUUUUUCUUUUCUUUUUUUUUUUUGGGGGUCAGGAAGAUCAAAUCUUCAUUAGAAACAGAACCUCCCAAGUAAAACACAGGGAAGGUAAAGAGAUACAAAAGCCAAAUUAGCAACCAAGUAAGGAAGCUCCUAGGAACAAACUAAUCUGUGAAGAUAUCACAUGAACAAGAACAACGAGAUUGUCCCAGAGAUAUCAACAGAUAAACAAAAGAAAAUUCCACAACUAAAAGCAGUAAAACAUCGUACAACACCAAAUUGAAAACCAAAAAAAUUACAGAAAAAACAGAACCACACCACAGAUCUACCACAAAAGCCAGCAACUCUCAAAGCUGUCCAAAGGCACAAGAUUUGGAACCAAGGAGCAGGAAGGAGGUGGUGCAGGAACCCGAGCCGGAGCUUUGCUGCGGCUCUACACACCUUCCAAGGGGUACCGAGAGAUCGCGUUUUGGGUUGGCCGUUGUAUCCAGGUGGUGAAACCGGAUCGAAAGGGAAGUGGGGGGAUCUGGGUGUUGACCAUCAACAACCGAGAACUAACAUCUUCACCACCGGAAUCGUAGACACCAACGCACCAAGAGGAGACGGGCAAUCGAAUCGACGAUGGCCAUAGGACAGCUCUGAGAAGAAUGGAAUAGUGGAGAUGGGAGGGAUCUAACCAGGUAGCAGGCAUGAAGCCUCAGACCAAGGAGAACAAAACACCCACUAAAGGGGAGAGCAGACCACCCACAAAGGGGAGAGCAGAAACACCCACAAAGAAGGGGAGAACAGGGGCCGACAGUGUCCACAAGGAGAUUCACAAGCAGCAGGUAUCAGGAUACAGAAGAGAAAACCAGAGGAAAGGGGAGGAGGAGAGGACCUCCUUCCCUCCUCCUCCCCACCAAAAAAAAGGUAGCGCCGCGCAGAGAGGAGGGGUUUAGGGUUUUUUUACAGAGAAUAAGAAGGAUAACAGAAAGUUGGGUAGAUCAUCAUCAGGAGAGGACCUUCCCCCCCCCCCAAAAAAAAAAAUCAAAAAAUCCAUUUUAGUCGCUCCUCCUCUUCUAUUCGGCUUCCUACUUUGAUGAUACAUACAUGGGGAACUACGUUCCAUCAUUUUUUUUAACCCAUAAAUCGCACAAGAUUUACACAGGGAAGGAGGAGGAUCAAUAAAAACAAAUACAGAUAAUGGAAGUGAAAAAGCAAAAGAGCAUGAAUCAUGUCCGUACAAAUAAUUAAUAAAGUAAAUAUCCAGACACAAGGAAAACAAAAAUCUUGAAGAAUAUGCAUGCAAACUUUCACGUAGGUCAAAAUUUGCUCCCAGAUAACAAGAAUCGAUAUGAAAUUUGUCAACGGACCAUCAAAGAAUAAGUGUGGGAGUUUUGAGAGACAGAUCAAAAACUAAUUAACCGGAGGAAUGGAUAAGCAGGUUACUUACAAGACACAUCAAAAGCUAAGCAGACGCCAGCACCACCCUUGAGAGAGAGAGAGAGAGAGAGAGAGAGAGAGAGAGACCACUCUUGUCUAGUUAAAUAUAGCAUGGAUGGUGGAAACUUGAAGGUUAUAUAUAGCUAGGAAGGAAGCGUUUCGAAAGUCUUGUAGCGAAACAGAACUACUUCCACUCUCUCUCUCUCUCUCUCUCUCUCUCUAGCUUUGCUUAGUGGGAAACUUGAA